rnacentral:rRNA from 1 species
GGACAGAAAGACCCUAUGAAGCUUUACUGUAACUUGAAAUUGAAAUUGGACUUUAGUCGCGCAGCAUAGGUGGGAAGCGUUGAGCAUAUUCUUGCGGGAAUAUAGGAGCUAUCAGUGAGAUACCACUCUUCUAAUGUUAGAUUUCUAACCUUGAACCAUUAUCUGGUCAAGGAACAGUUUCAGGCGGGCAGUUUGACUGGGGCGGUCGCCUCCCAAAUGGUAACGGAGGCGUACAAAGGUUUCCUCUGAACGGAUAGAAAUCGUAUCUAGAGUAUAAAGGCAUAAGGAAGCUUGACUGUGAGACCUACAAGUCGAGCAGGGACGAAAGUCGGUCUUAGUGAUCUGACGGUACUGAGUGGAAAGGCCGUCACUCAACGGAUAAAAGUUACUCUAGGG